UAUGUCUGUGUAUAUAUUCCAUCUAAGAAUGUUUUGCCUUUUUUUGCAGCAAGGAUAAAAGAGGCAGUCAACCAAAUGGAUGCAGCUAUCUAGCUUGACAAUACUAUAUGCCAUUCUACUUUUUAAGUUUUUAAAACAGUAUUUGUUUGUUUACAGAUUUAAAUGACCAUCUAUAUUGUGCCAGAUAGCUCUCAACAGAAGACAUUCGAGACCAUCAUUUCACAGUAUGUGAUUGGAAAAAAUGUAGGCAGAUUACAGCUCCGUGGCAGCACUUUGUGAAAGAAAGAACGAAAUAAAGGAAGGAAGGAAGAAAGGAAGGAAAGAAUAGAAAACAUUAUUCUGCUUUGCUUUGAUGGAUUAAAAUAAAUGAUAAAUAGAAAAAAAGCUACACUGACAAUGCACAGAAUGUUGGGGAAAAUUAUGCAAACAGGUUUGGGCCUCUGCUUGUAUGUUCUUCCAACACAGCAAAACAGGACCAGUUUUGGUAGAAAGGACCAAGGGAAGAAGCCAUAAGCUAGAACCGAGUUUGAAAAAUGAGCCAGAUUUCGCUGAGGGAGAAUAAAAAUGUCCUCCAAUAUAUCCAUUUGGGAGAGGACAUUGGAAAAGGAUUGAGAGUACUUGUGACUACAAGGACACAGAAUCAUCUUAAGGCAGAAGAAAGAGUUUUAAAACACCAAAGAAUUAGCCUCUGCAAUUCUAGGAGACAAAGGGGUAUUAAAUAACAGGUAUCACAGAUAGUGCACACCCUAAAAGCAAAAGAACUGUUGAAUGUCAAGGAAAGCUAUGACCUCAUAAAAUUACAAUCUCAUAAAUUUAGUACAGAAAUUGGGCAAUCAAUUCAAGAUAAUCUUCACCAAUGUAACCCGAACAAGCAAAUAACAAAAGAAGAAAUUGUAUAUGAAAAGCUAUGGACCAGACUUUCCGACUUCUAUAUACUUUAAAUUAUACAAAUCUGACAUAAUUGCAUCCCUGUAAGAACCCAACAUACAAUUUUGUCAACAAAUUCAGACAUACCAAAGAUGGGGCCAAAUAUUCAUUAAUUGACGUUUACAGUGCCUCAUGAAAAAUGAAGAGUUAAUAACUGAAGAAGAUGAAAUCAUUCAAUGCCAUUGUGGUCUUCCCAUCCAGCGAUUCAAAACAGGUGCAGGAAUUUAUUGCACCACUCCUAUAUAGCACACCAAUCCCUAACAAGUAAUAUAAAUAUUGAAAUUCCAAGAUGUAUUGAACUUAUAGACAUGGGCCUUAUCACAUGCUUGCAGUUUGACAUGUGAGUAUACAAAUAUUGUGAACCAUCAGUGGGAUCAACCAUCUUCAGAUUCUUAGUAGAAAUAGUGAUACAAUGUAUAGGAAGUAGCAAUAUUCUUAUGCAUAUCACCCAAAACAUGGAUUUUUUUAUGUGGAUAUUUUUGUCAUAAUCAAGAAAGAACAAUUAAACAAUACACACAAGACAAUCCAUUAACAUCUUUGAUGAAAUCAAAUUCAGAACAGUAAAAUAGAACAAUAACAAACUACCCUCCCUGGAUGUUACCAUCAGCAAAGAAAACAGUGACAAAUUUCCAAAUCAGGUGCAUCAUAAAGCAACACAUGCUAAUCAAGUAUUCAACUACAACAACAAUCAUACAGGACACAAUAAGAAUCAUAUUCGGACAAGCAAAAUUGCUAAUAUUAAAUACCCAGGACUACAAAAAAAUAUAAAAAGAUUAUAUAACCUUCCAAUGCAGUGGAGAUCCUCACAAUCAACUAUUAGCCCUACAAGAUAGAUCAAGCCAUAAAGUCACUUUCACAGGAUGUCUACAGUUUUUAUUGAGAUUGGCUAUAGUAACAGAAACUUACAAGUCUGAUAUACUGAUAUAGUAUAUGAUAUAGUAUAUUAUACAGUAUAAACUAUAUACUGCUAUGAUUCCCCACUCAACUCAUUUCCCUUUUCAUAUUCUAUUCCUCUUUAAUUUUAGAUUUACAUUAGAUUUUAGGCACUCCCAAUUUGAGAGUGCCUAAAAUCUAAUGUA